GUGAGCAGCUGAGGCUGUCAGGAUGACUUGCCCCUGUGYCUCUGUGGUGGCAUGAGGAACGGAGCCUGGAACACCUGAGUCAUGAACUGCCCAGUCCCGUCACAGCCAUCCUCCAUUUUGGUCUCAGUGUAAUUAAGUAAUGCAGAUUAUGCUACCUCUGUCUUUGAAGGCUCAUUGCAAGAGAUCUGAGGAGAGUGAAAGAAGAAGCAACUGUGGAUCUGUAGUCUUAGACUUUCUACCACAGAGUGCAUGCAGCAUUCACUGUAUUUUGGUCUCUUGGGGGACUGCAAGGGUCUUCUUCUCUUGUGAUGCUCCGCAGGUUUUCAGCGCUGUCUGAUCACACAGCCAGCAUCGUCUUUGGCUCUGUUUUCAAGAAGUUCAUUGCGCAAAGUUCUUUGGUCUUGCGUUACCAGCCAGUAUUGCAGUUACCAUCCAAGUUUAGUGGCUGUUUUGUGGGGUACUCCGUUUGGCAAAAAAAAAAAAAAAAACUCUGGAACAAGGUCCGACAAGCACAGGACUUGGAUCACAUCAUUGCGGCUCAUGAGGUUUUUCUGGACACAAUCAUCGCUYGGUGCUUGCUGGAUAGUGACUCCAGGGUAAGUUGUUACCUUUGCGUUAAGCUGUAGCUUUUGUGAUCUUGGCUCAUGGGUUAGCAGUUCUCCUCUGUUAUGUUACAGGAACACUGGGAAAAGUCAUUUUUCCCCCUCUGAUAUAAGACUUGUGGUAGGCUUUGUACCUAGUCCCUGCACACACACGUGGGUGCUGAUUAUAAAACUUGCUGCAAUGAUGU
rnacentral:lncRNA from 1 species